UGCAGUCGAACGGAGAUUACAGGCGGAAGUUUUCGGAUGGAAGCUUGUAAACUUAGUGGCGGACGGGUGAGUAACACGUGAGCAACCUGCCUAUCAGAGGGGGAUAACGAUUGGAAACGAUCGCUAAUACCGCAUGACAUAGCGGAACCGCAUGGUUUUGUUAUCAAAGAUUUUAUCGCUGAUAGAUGGGCUCGCGUCCGAUUAGAUAGUUGGUGGGGUAACGGCCUACCAAGUCGACGAUCGGUAGCCGGACUGAGAGGUCGAACGGCCACAUUGGGACUGAGACACGGCCCAGACUCCUACGGGAGGCAGCAGUGGGGGAUAUUGCACAAUGGGGGAAACCCUGAUGCAGCGACGCCGCGUGAGGGAAGACGGUCCUCUGGAUUGUAAACCUCUGUCUUCGGGGACGAAACGAGACGGUACCCGAGGAGGAAGCCACGGCUAACUACGUGCCAGCAGCCGCGGUAAUACGUAGGUGGCAAGCGUUGUCCGGAAUUACUGGGUGUAAAGGGAGCGUAGGCGGGCAGGCAAGUCAGGCGUGAAAUAUAUCGGCUCAACCGGUAACGGCGCUUGAAACUGCAGGUCUUGAGUGAAGUAAAGGUUGGCGGA
rnacentral:rRNA from 1 species